rnacentral:lncRNA from 1 species
AACAAUCUACACUGCACCUGGCAUGAUGGCUGCUGAUGCAAGCAGCCUGUCCCUGAGGGGUAAGAGGGUAUUAGCUGAAGAAUUAGCGGGACUCAUUGACAGGUCUUUAAACUAGGAAUGAAGGGGAAAGGGGGCAAAACAAGGGCUACUGGGGUUGAACAGUUCAUUCGAGGGAUUGUACCGAACUCCGUGGGCAAUGACGGCAGAGUGCAAAAGGAGGGAGUAGGGCAGGGGGAUGCUGGGGAUGCUGCUGUUCUAGUGGAUCCUGGAUCCCUUAUAAAGGUGGCAAGACGGAUAGCCCGGCUGAAGUGCCUUUAUACUAAUGCACGUAGCCUGAGUAACAAGCAGGAAGAACUGGAAACUGUGAUGCACUCAAAAAGUUAUGACAUUGUUGCUAUCACAGAAACAUGGUGGGAUGACUCCCACAAUUGGGAUACUGCCAUCGACGGCUAUAGACUAUUUAGGAGAGACAGGCAAGGCAGGAAGGGUGGGGGAGUCGCUCUCUAUGUCAGAGAUUGGAUAAACUGUGAAGAGCUCCCCACGAGAAACAGUCAAGAACAGGUUGAGAGCCUGUGGGUUAGGAUUAGAGAUGGGACUAAUAAAGGACAGCUGGUAUUAGGGGUAUACUACAGGCCACCUGAUCAAGGGGAGGCUGCUGAUGAGGCUUUCUUGCUCCAGAUGCGUGAGGCAUCUGGCUCACGGGCUCUUGUCCUGAUGAGGGACUUCAACCAUCCGGACAUUUGUUGGAAAAACCACACGGCGAGCUGCAAGAGCUCCACAAGGCUCUUGGAAUCCAUUGAUGAUAGCUUUCUGGUUCAGGUAUUGGACAGACCGACCAGAGGCCAAGCGUUGCUGGACCUGCUGCUCAUCAACGCUGAGGAGAUCAUCAAAGGUGUCAAGGUUGGAGGCUGCCUGGGCUCCAGUGAUCAUGCCCUGGUUGAGUUUGUGGUCUCAAGCAAUGUGGGCCUGGCAAAAAGCAGGACCAGGACGCUGAACUUUAGAAGAGCAGACUUCAAGCUACUCAAUGGAAUGCUGGCCAAGAUCCCCUGGCACGCUGCUCUCAAAGACAAGGACGUUGAGGAGAGCUGGCUGCUCUUCAAGGAUGCCCUCCUGAAAGCACAAGAGGACUCCAUUCCCCUGAUUAAGAAAGUGGGCAGGAGAGGUAGAAAACCGGCAUGGUUCAGCAAGGACCUGCUAAGAGAACUGCGGGCAAAGAAAGGGGUGUACAAGCUCUGGAAACAAGACGG